UACGUAGGGUGCAAGCGUUAAUCGGAAUUAUUGGGCGUAAAGCGUGCGCAGGCGGUGAUGUAAGACAGUUGUGAAAUCCCCGGGCUCAACCUGGGAACUGCAUCUGUGACUGCAUCGCUGGAGUGCGGCAGAGGGGGAUGGAAUUCCGCGUGUAGCAGUGAAAUGCGUAGAUAUGCGGAGGAACACCGAUGGCGAAGGCAAUCCCCUGGGCCUGCACUGACGCUCAUGCACGAAAGCGUGGGGAGCAAACAGG
rnacentral:rRNA from 1 species